rnacentral:rRNA from 1 species
GACGAACGCUGGCGGCGUGCUUAACACAUGCAAGUCGAACGAAGUGGCGAACGGGUGAUUAAUACGUGGUUAACCUGCCCUCCUUUUUCGGAUAAGCCUUGGAAACAUUGUCUAAUACCGAAUUUGUAGGGAGGGGCUCGCGGCCUAUCCGGUUGUUGGUGGGGUGGUGGCCUACCAAGGCGGUGACGGUUAGCCGGCCUGAGAGGGUGCCCGGGCAGGUUAGGACUGAGAAGCGGACCGGGAUCCUACGGGUGGUAGCAGUGGGGGAUAUAGCGCAAUGGGUGAAAGCAUGAUGCAGCGAUGCGGCGUGGGGGAUGAAGGCUUUCGGGUUGUAAACCUCUUACGUUAUCGAACGGGUAGGUGGAGAAGAAGCGCCGGCUAACUACGUGCCAGCAGCCGCGGUAAUAC